CGAACGCGGAUUAGCCCAAACCAAUAAAGUUUUCUUUAUCGGGGUUGCGGACAUAUCAUAACGAAGAGGUAUCGUAAUUGAAGAGGUUUGGAAAGACCCACCACAGAAGGUAAUAGUCCUGUAUGUUAAACGAGAAGACUUUAGAUAUGAUCCAGAGUACCACGGGACACGUGAAACCCUGUGGGAAGCAGGAGGGACCACCCUCCAAGGCUAAAUACUACCUAGUGACCGAUAGCGUAUAGUACCGUGAGGGAAAGGUGAAAAGAACCCCGGGAGGGG
rnacentral:rRNA from 1 species